AGCUCCAAUAGCGUAUAUUAAAGUUGUUGCAGUUAAAAAGCUCGUAGUUGAAUUUCUAGGCAGGUUUAAUUUGGACUUUGUUCGGUUAUAUCUGUCUAUCCGACAUUGAACUAUACUGGGUAUUAAGUUAUCCAUAUAGCGAACUGUCAUUUUACUUUGAAAAAUUAGAGUGUUUCAGGCAGGCAAUUGCCCGAAUAUCUUAGCAUGGAAUAAUGGAAUAGGACUUUGGUUCAUUUGAUUGGUUAUUGAAUCAGAGUAAUGAUUAAUAGGGACAGUUGGGGGCAUUAGUAUUUAAUUGUCAGAGGUGAAAUUCUUGGAUUUAUUAAAGACUAACUUAUGCGAAAGCAUUUGCCAAGGAUGUUUUCAUUAAUCAAGACGAAGUUAGACACG
rnacentral:rRNA from 1 species